ACGGCCGUGAGCCGACCGCAUUGUCUCCCCUCCCUCUGCAUGCGCUAGCCCUCCUGUUUUUACCCAAAGCAACCCGUAGUGACAGUGCUGCGGGGCCUGGGGGUCCCGACGCACCGGUCGGUGACUGUCCGUCUCUCCCAAUGAGUCGAGCUCGCCUAAGUGAGGCGCAAAAGGCUGACCUGGCAUUGAAAAGGUGUUUCUCAAAGGGGGCUCACCGGCUGCUCCACGGCAAUCAAUGAAAGCAAUUCAUCAUGCAGUCAGCCUUCCCGCUGCAGCAGCAGGGUGCGUUCGCUGCCGCGCUGCAGCAACAACAGCAACAACAACAACAACAACAGCAGCAACAGCAGCAGCAACAGCAGCAGCAACAGCAGAAACAGCAGCAACAACAGCAAAGGCAGUUACAUCAGCAACAGCAACUACAGCUAGAGCAGUUACAACAACAGCAGCUACAACAACUGCAACAGUUACAAGAGCAACAUCAGCAACAACAGCAACAGCAUCGACAUCAUGGGCCCUCCCACAGGGCUGGCAGUCUGUCGGAGAGAUCCGCCAUGCAUUAACCGGGGAACAAGGAUAAAAAAUCCCUAGGUUGUUGCCGGCCGGGGUCCCGGAACGUCAAACCGGAUGUCUUGUCUCGACUAUUCGACGCCGAGCCUGAGGCCAAAGAACCAGAAACCAUCCUCCCACUAACCCUUGUGGUUGGAGCAGUUACUUGGCCCAUAGAAACUGAGGUAAAGCGAGCGAAUGGUGGUGCUCCG
ensembl:lncRNA